rnacentral:lncRNA from 1 species
UCUCAACCCCACCAGACAGGAAGCCACACAGUCACUUCUGGAGGGGAAUAGUCCUGUGAGCUGGGGAUGGAGGGCUGGGAGAGAUGGUGCAGACUGGGACCGGCCACUCCUUGGACGCCUGUGGUGGAGGGUCCUGUCCUUUACCAUGGCCACCAUACCUCUGGGUGUGGACAGCAUCUGCUGAUGGAGGAAUUCCCAGCAAUGUCCCUCUGUGAUGCAUGCGGUGACUUUCCAGGCACCUUCAGACCAGAGCCAGUGGUAGCACUGGCAUCUCAGUCUCCUCCUGUGGGGGCUGGCUCGGCCUGCAGGAUGGCUGGGACACCCUGGACAGCCAGCUCGGGCAUUGUCCUUGCAGAUCCGGGAUGUUCCAGGAACAGCGGUAUAAAUCCUGUUGAGAACUGGCCAGGAGAGACCAGGAUCGGACAUCGGUGGUAUUUGGCCCCUCUGGACACCGGUCUGCAGAAGGAGAGAGGCCACCCUGACGGUAUUCCAGGGCUAGGCCACCCUGACGGUAUUCUGGGGCUCUGGGUAGACUGGUCCCGGUCGGGCCUUAUCGCCAAUCAGCCGACCCGAAGGAGUUUAUCGGGAAAGCCUCUAGAGACAGGGAAAAUGAAUAUGGCAUGAAAUUUUCUAAAGGCAAAUUACGAACCCUGUGUCAGUUAAGGUACAUUGUUUUUCUGGGGGUACUUUUGUGAGCCGUCCCAGGGGCCCAGUUCUUGCUCCUGGGCUGCCCGCGUCCCUGCUGCCCAUGUCCCUGCUGCCCCCAGAUGCCCCAGACUUUCUGGUCCCGGUUCCUGGAACUCGUCGGACUCUCAUUUAACUUGACACUUCUGAGUGUUCUGUGUUCUCUGCCCGGAACCGUCGCCCAUCUGCUCUCUUGGCUUCAUGGCCCUUCCUUUCCCAGACACCGGGCAAGGUGUCCUGGUUCUGGAAUUCGUGG